rnacentral:pre_miRNA from 13 species
AGCUGAAGAGAGCCGUCUAUUGACAGUUCGUCUCUGUUCAGUCAGGUACUGUCAUGGAGUCGCUCUCUUCAGAUGA